ensembl:lncRNA
UGCUUAUGGGAUUUUUCACCAGGAUUGUCUAACCUCCGUUCAGGAAAAGAACCAUUGGACACACUAAUUUGUCUCCAGCUCUCCCAAUUCAGGCCACGUUCAGAGAGUUACUCCUCCUGGUUCAUUAUUGACAUAUUGCCAAUCAAACAGACUGACAUCAAAGACUCACUCAGGCAGGUUCACGCAAAAGAAAUCAACACUGUUACCUUGGGACGACAGUACACUGUGGAAGCCCUUACAUCUGCAUUUGCUCUGUUAUCGAAAAGGUGCUUUUUUCAACACACCUGGGCUAUAUGGAUCCUCUGGACAAGUACUGCUGAGCAGUUGUUUAUCUGGUUUUGUGUUUUACAGUUCAGGAAAGGAGAUGAAAAAAUAAAAGAUAAUCUUGUUAACACACACAGAUUCGAGGACAGAACUGGGAGAGUGUACGGGGUGGCUGUAUUGUUAAAGGUUUAACCAGAACAACUGCAUGGGUUAACAAUGAAUACAUCGAGAGCCAGUUUUGAGAUGGAACAUAAAGUCCUAUUCACACCAAGUCCAAAAAUUAUUCCCCAAAACAAUGUAUUUCUUAAAACCUAUUUAGACUGAAAUAUCAUACUGUGAUGAUCUAUUAAUUAUUUGUGUUAUUCUGUUCACGUUGUUUAAAAGUUCGGAUGCAAAAACAAUUAAUUUAAGUACUUUUUUUCAUGAUGAACAUUUUGCAUGAAACUGUGUUGAUGCAAAUACUUUAUACUUUUGUUGUUCAGUGGAAUCUGACUUAGUGUAAACAGAACACUGACUGAACACAACAUCAAGCCUCCGUUUUUAUAAUCAGAUGUGAGUGUAUGAAAUAGCGUAAUACUUUCCUCAAUCUCAAACCUGCACACAAACUCUCUGCCACAGGCCACUGGUCAAACUUCCAUCCUGUAUUAUUCAUGACACACACUCUGCUCUGAGAGUUUGCUGCCUCUCUGUAUGUGUGUGUGUGUGUGUGCAUUUACCUUCCCCACAGCAUCCAGUAAGUAUUAACCCAGUCGAACAAGAGGUGAACGAAUGGAGCAACUAAACAGCACAUUUGGCAUGAAAUUAAAAAGAAAUAACACGGUAAAGCUUCUUUAACACAAUCUGAUUAGUAUAAAGCGCUAUAUAAAUAAAGGUAACUUGACUUUAAGCUAAAAUUUUCUAUAACAAUGCUGCAGUUUUUUUUUUUUUUUGACAGUAUAAACUUUCUUACACAUAAACCACAACCAUACUUACUAUGCAAGAAGGGCAUUUUGUGCUUACCACUUUUAUUAGCAUCUUUACACUUUAAUUAUCCUCAACUCCUACUCUCUAUCUGUUCAUACUCAUAGAUUUUUCUCUUUGUGAAGUCCGGUGCUUUCCCAUGUGGCUAUAGCUGCUACGUUAGUCCAGGAAUGCUACAUUGACAUACUGUACACAGCCGUCUAGCCGAGCUUUACAUUCACACUCAACGGAAUUUGUGUGAGAGAAACAUUAGGGACCGUUUAAAAAGCACUUUGAAGAGCAAAUCCCUCUUGGCAACAUAAAGUUCAAUUAAGCAAACAACCUCUCUGCGCGUUAACCCUGCCCCACACCUCACAAUUGAUCAAUAAGGUCAUAAAAUGUGUGCUAAAAACUAGCAUGUGGUGCAGCACCUCUCCUGUAGUUCCUGUAUUGUUAGACCCAAAAAUAACAAAUCAAAGUGUGAAAGAGAGGAAGAAAGUGAGGCCCUGAACCUGCGAGAUGAUGAUGGCACCUCUUUAGUCCUUCUAGUGCCUUUACUUUUAAUGUGAGCAUUAGUGCAUGGGGUCUCUCUGGACCGCUGCACUUCCCUAGCUUAAUUAUUAAGAGUGCCGGCUAAUGAACUGCAGGAUUACUGAGGUGAUAAUCGCUGUCUUGGUUGGUGCAUUAAGUCUUGUUAUAUGUCAUUGUGCUCUGAGGACAAGAAGAGAGAAUGGGAAAAGAAAAGAGUAAAAGAAACAAAGAAUAAAAGUAAAAGACUAUCUGCUCUCUGCUGCAUCUUCUGGGACACAACACCGCACGGCUCACGCUCCCAGUGUGAAGGCUGUAAC